rnacentral:rRNA from 1 species
GACGAACGCUGGCGGCGUGCCUAAUACAUGCAAGUCGAGCGGGCCUCCGGAGGUGCUUGCACCUCCGGACGGCCAGCGGCGGACGGGUGAGUAACACAUGGGCAACCUGCCUUUGAGGCCGGGAUAACACCGGGAAACCGGUGCUAAUACCGGAUACGUCCUCUUUCGCGCCUGCGAGAGGGGAGAAAGACGGUCUUUAAGGCCGUCGCUCAAAGAGGGGCCCGCGGCGCAUUAGCUGGUUGGUGGGGCAAGGGCCUACCAAGGCGACGAUGCGUUGCCGACCUGAGAGGGUGAUCGGCCACACUGGGACUGAGACACGGCCCAGACUCCUGCGGGAGGCAGCAGUAGGGAAUCAUCCGCAAUGGGCGAAAGCCUGACGGUGCAACGCCGCGUGAGUGAGGAAGGUUUUCGGAUCGUAAAGCUCUGUUGUGAGGGAAGAACAGCAUCCGGAGGAAAUGCCGGAGGCUUGCCGGUACCUCACCAGAAAGCCCCGGCUAACUACGUGCCAGCCGCCGCGGUAACAC